rnacentral:lncRNA from 1 species
AGCAUCACCACGAACACGUACUGUGCAGAAGGGGAGAAACGUGGAUUAGAAGGAAAUUGAUUGAUCGAUCCGUCGAGAAUGAAAACGAAUAUAUGAACUGUUUCCGAGAUACGAUGGAAAAACGUUUUGCCCCGGAAGACACUGCUUUCAAGGUUCUCUCGAGGAUCUCCUCCAUCGGGGACACGAUCUAACGAGAAGAUUUACAAGUCCUCGAGUAGAAACAGAGAUCCGAACGUGUCCAAGUGUCCUCCAGGAGAGGUACGAAAUAAUCCUCGUACGUUGUUGGAGAAGAUUUCGAGCGGCGGUCGGAUGGCUUCUUCAGCUAGAGCGGCGCGCAAUUAAGGCAAGGUUAAAUUUGAAAUGGCCGAAUCCUCGAGAAUUCGACAAAAAGAAAGAAAGAAGGAGAUCUGAAAGAAUUGAAAAUUUUUCUUGGUGUCUAAUAUCAAGUUUCGAACUAUUUGUCGAACCAUAUAUGAAUUAUGAUCUAAAAGUAUGAUUCUAAAAAUGGAUAUUAUCAUCAUCUACCGUUGCAUUAUUAUACAAUUUAUGAUUAACAGAAGUACGUGCCUCGAGUAUCCUAAUUUUCAAUACCCUCGAAAGUGUUUUUGAAUAGUAAAGAUUGAGAAUUCGAAAAAAAAAAGGAUAUCUUGUUGGUGUAUCUAAAAUUUUUCAUAGAUUUUCGAAUAAUUUACAAAUAAUAAUUACAUUAUUAUACAAACUAUGAUCAGAAGAAAUGGUAAUUGCUUCGAUAAUGAGGUAUCCUGAUUUUGACAAGUAAUAUCCUCGAAGAUCUUCUCAAAAAGUAAAGAUUUUGAUUGAGAAUUCGAAAAAAGAAUAUCUUAUUGGUGUAUUUAACAUUUUUCCAUCAACUUUCGAACAAUUUACCGUUACAAGUAAUAUUCUCGAAAAUAUUCUCAAAAAUUAUAAAAGAUAAUUCGAUUAUUAUACGAACUAUGAUCAAAAAUAGACACGUAUCUCGAUAACGAAGAAUCCUGACUUUAACAAGUAAUAUCCUCCGGAAAUGAAUUUUUGAAAAGUAAAAAUUUCAAUUGAAAAUUCGAAAAAAGGGUAUCUUGUCGAAGUAUCUAAAAUUUUUUGUCGAUCUUCAAAUAAUUUAUCCUAAUUUUGACAAUAUCCUCGUAUUUCCAAAAAGUAAGGAUUUCGAUUGAGCUUUCCAAAUUUACAACAAUUUAAACAAUUUACAAUACAUAUUGUAACUACGAACUAUGAUCAGAAAUAGGUAUCUUGAUUUUGAUAAGCAAUCUUUGGAAAUAUUUCCAAAAAUUAUAGAUUUCGAUUGAGAAAAAAAGAAUAUCUUGUCAAUGCAUUUAACAUUUUUCCAUCGACUUUAUGAUCAGAAAUAGGUAUUCUAAUUUUGACAAUAUCCUCGAAAGUAUUCCCAAAAAGGUAAAAAUUUCGAUCGAGCUUUCGAAUAAUUUACCAUACAUACGAACUAUGAUCAAAAAUAAAUAUCCUGAUUUUAACAAAUAGUAUCCUCGGAAAUAUUUCCAAAAAGUAUAGAUUUCGACUGAGAAAAAAAGAAUAUCUUGUCACUACAUUUAACAUUUUUCCAUUUUCGACUUUACCAUCACCAUGCCCAAAAAUAAGUACGUAUCCUAAUUUUGACAAUAUCCUCGAAAGUAUCUUAAUAUCCCAAAAAGUUAAAGAUUUCGAUUGAAAAUUUGAGAAUUCCAGAGUAUCUCUAUCUAUCAUUUUUCAUCCACUUUCGAACCAUUCACCGUUACAUUAUUAAACGAGGUAUGGUCGGAAGAAAUGGGUACGCGUCUCGAUAAUGAGGUAUCCCGAUUCUAAGAAAGGAUACCCUUUGUCUCCUAACGCUGCCACCGUAGCCGGACUUGGUUAACCCGGCGUAACCGUUUAUCCGGUUGGUGAGCGUAUUUCAUGCGAACAAAUAUAAAAGGGCCGAAUAAGGGCCCCCCUUCGAUAUAUAUAUAUACAUAUAUUUUCCAGCCGUAUACGGUGCAUACCGUAAUCAAAGAUAUAGGGAGGGUAAAUGGAGCGAGCAACUAUCCCUAGAUUCGAUAACGGGAGACGGCUCGUUACCCCGCAACGUGGACACGUUUUAACAAGGAGAUAUCGUCGAUGAUCCUUGGAGAAUCUCCUUUUACGUUCGCCCCGCGCACGACUUUAACGAGCCUCCUCCUCCUCCUCCUCCUUUCCUAUUCCUUCUUCCGAAUCCAACUUUUUCCCGUCAUUUCAAUAUUGAUCGUAAAUUAGCGAACUCAAUCUUUCUUAUAAAGAAGAAGAAAAAGGAAGCGUGAUUUCCAACCUUUUUUCUACGAAGAUCUAAUAUUCGAGCAUGUAAUUCCACUAUCCUUCCUCUCGAAAGAAGAAAGCGAGAAAGAUGUAAUUACAAAUGCUUCUGAAGAGAGCAACAUCUAAGCAUUGAUCUAACCAAUCUCCCUCCUAAAUUUCUUAAUCUCAUAAACCUUGUUUCUUUCCUCUACCCUUCCAAAAACCAGUGCUUCCAAACUGGAUAAUCAACUCGCUUUAACCUCUCCAACGUAGUUUCCAUAUCCGCUAUCCAUCAUUGUCGCUUCUCCCCUUUCCCUUUGCCCCUUCCAUAUCACUAACAAAGGCAUGGAAAAAUUUCGCGGAAGAAGACUUGGAUCGAAAGAAGAUUCGAAGAAGCAAGGAUAGGAACUGGCGGAAAAAUUUCGCGGGAGAAGACUUGGAUCAAAAGAAGAUUCGAAGAAGCAAGGAUAGGAACUGGCGGAGAGAGAGGUGGAGAUGGAUGGAAAUCGGGUGGAGAUCGGUUCGGCUUCGCCCCUCGAGGAGAGCGAUUUUCUUGGCGAGGCCUCGGUCCGGGCAUAAAUUGGAGCGUAAGUGGCGCGAUCGGCCGGCCGGAUACUCGGCAAGCAAUGCGGUCUCGCCUGGAGCGCGCUCCGAUCGGCGUGGAACUGGUUCGAAACCAGUCCGCAGGCGUCGAGACCUGUCUCGGCCUGCUCGACCGACCGAUCUCACCCCCUCCCCCCGGUCACGACACGUCAUUCACGAAAGAAAGAAAUCGGAAUCACUCGGAUGCUAAUUGAGCGCCACGGCUCCUCGUUAAUUAAGCCGAGCGCUCGCUUUCUAAUUAUCGGUCUCCACGAUAUCUUGCGAGAAAGAUAUCACGCUCGGAGAUAAGAGAGUGGAUCGACAACAAUGUGGAUCAAAGAAUGGAGAAAAUUCAAAAUUUUCGAAU